rnacentral:rRNA from 1 species
UGCCAGCAGCCGCGGUAAUACGGAGGGUGCAAGCGUUAAUCGGAACCACUGGGCGUAAAGCGCACGCAGGCGGUUUGCUAAGUCAGAUGUGAAAGCCCCGGGCUUAACCUGGGAACUGCAUUUGAUACUGGCAGACUAGAGUAUGGGAGAGAGAAGUAGAAUUCCACAUGUAGCGGUGAAAUGCGUAGAGAUGUGGAGGAAUAUCAGUGGCGAAGGCGGCUUUCUGGACCGAUACUGACGCUGAGACGCGAAAGCGUGGGGAGCAAACAGGAUUAGAUA